GGUCAAAGAUGAGGAUGAAGAUAAAGUGACGUAUGAGACGAUCAACAUGUCCACUCCUGCUGCUGCGAGAGACCAUGAGCAGACAGAUGAUGUGACUUACUCUGAAGUCUCUUCUUCCAGUAAAAAGCCAGUAAAAUCGCUCAGUGAUCAUAAUGAUACAGUGACUUACGCUGCCGUCAGAUGAACAGAAAACGAGCCACAGGAUGAACUUUACAAGAACAAGAGCGUCACAAAUAGACAUUCAUCACUGCGUGAGCUCAUC